GUAUCAGAGAUCUUUGUUGCAGGAGAACUGUGUUAAAACUUGAAAACAGUCUGGAGCUGUAAGAUUUUCUGUGGAUUCUCCAACAGCAAAUUAUGAUAUGACAUGACAAUACAUCAACAUAAGUGUUUAACUAUGCAAAUUAGUCUGUAUAUAUACAAUUUGUUCCAGCUGGUGAAGAGGUGCUAUCGAUGGGUGUUAGGAAACAAAGCUUUGCUCUGAACAAUUCUUCAGCCAGAGGAUCGAAACGGUCAAGAACUUGUAGCUUGCUGCUUAAUGACAGCCAAGGAUUUUUCCAAAAUGGAGGUAAAUAUCGUUCAUUCUAAUGCCUUUUGUGACAAUUAGGGGUUGUACGUUACUUAAGUUGUGUGUCUGUGUGUUGUGCUUCAAUGCAUUUACCGUAAAUGGUCAAAACAUUUGUUCUGUGUCUUUUUAGGUAAAUUAAGUUGUGAAUUCAUUAAGUAAUUCAUGGUGUUAUACACAUUGUGUUAAUUAUCAAACAUACACUAAACAAUGGACCGUAUCUCUAAAAUACAGUUUGACCUUUGAACCUAACAGUGAUUUUUUAAAUGACUAUUUCAGUCUCAACGAUGGUGGGUCAGUUCCCACCAGGUUCUGUUCAUCAUGUGCUGCAUCAUGGUACAGGCGCCAUGCCUGAGAUGUAAGAUAGUGGUGAACUGCACCAACCCCAACACCAUAUCCCUUCUGGCCGCCCUGGAGAACGUCAUGAAGUUGUACUCCAUACGACCUGUCAUGAACCUCUCAACCCCCACCAACAUCAGCAUGUACUUCACCCUCUACGGCAUCCUGGGUGUGGUAAGGAGUAGUAGGACAGCAUGGUAUCCCUUUCAACUAGUUCACCUGAGGAGACAUACCAUUAAAUCCAUCAAUGUAUUUGACAUGUGCUAUAUAGUUCUGAAUGUUCCUCCACAUCCUGUUUUGUAGAUCUAUUGAAAAUGUGUCUUUAUUGCCUUUACUUUGUAUCCUACAACAAAAAGUAAUUCUCUUUUCAGGAGGAAAAAGCACAACUGUUGUACACCUACAUUUGGCUGGUGAAGGUGAGCAUAUUAUUUUAUUAUUUUUGCAAGUAUACGUACACAGUGUAUGGGAGUCAUUAUCAAUGUGCACUUUGGUUUCUGAUUCUCCUACAGCACGUUACUUCACAUUACUUCAUAUUUGUUAGGGCACCAAUAUGUACUGGAUAGCAAUAGUAAUAUAUAUUUGGUUAAAACAAACCAAAUACAUUUAAUCUUUGAAUGUAUCCUAACAUCAUAUUAUAAUUUUAAAUGCUGCUUACAAACAUAUUGUAUUGUUGCUAAUGUGUUGUUUUAGGAAUGGGAGAAUGAAUUUUUCAGCUGGGACCCAGUCCAAUGCGGCUCUGCCAAUAUUUCUCUCCCCAGGGAAAGGUUCUGGUCACCAGAUGUGGUAAUCAAUGAAUUGUGAGUUAAACAUCUCUAUAGUCUAUAUAGAUACGAUAUACUUAUUUUUUUGAUGAAACAUUGACUUUGGUCUUCCUGAUAUUAGCCCAUAGAAACACAUUGAAUAACAGACUAAUACAUGGAAAAACACAAUCAAAAAAUGAUGAAAAGGAAGUUUGUUUUAAAGUGUCUGUCCUAUAUCUGAGAGAUAAACGAAAGAUCAGGACAUGUAUCAUUUUUUUGACCAAUAUUUAAACUCUUUUUUUGGCACUAAAACUACUUCAACAUACACUGAACAAAAAUAUAAACGCGACAUGCAACAAUUUCAACAAUUUUACUGAGUUACAGUUCAUAGGAGGAAAUCAGUCAAUUGAAAUAAAUUCAUUAGACCCUAAUCUAUGGAUUUCACAUGAUUGAGAAUACAGAUAUGUAUAUAUUGAUUACAGAUACCUUAAAAAAACAUAACAAAUGGGCCUAAGGAUGGGCCCUGCGGUACUUUUGUGCAUUCAAAUUGACAAUUGAUCAAAUU
ensembl:lncRNA